GUGCAUGCGCGCACGCGCGCACACGCGUGCGCGUACGAGUGCAUGAGAGCUUUUUAUUUAUUUAUUUUUAGAACAGGGUUUUGAUGUAGCCCUGGUUGUCCUGGAACUUACUUUGUAGUAGGGGGUCUGCCACCAAUGUCUGGCUCUCUGGUCUGUUGUACACAGCUGCCAUGACAGCCCAGGGCCUUGGAUAACUCUCUCUUCUCUCUCCAGAUCUGGGUCCUGGCUCUGUCUGUCUGUUUCAUCUUCACAGUCACCAUUGGGUUGUUCCCUGCUGUGACUGCUGAGGUGGAAUCCAGCAUCGCAGGCACAAGUCCCUGGAGUAGGUUGUCAUGUGUCUUCCCCCCCUCUUCCCGCUCAGGGUGGAUUCAGCCAGUGUCUAAAGCAGAAUUGAGGGUGGAGUAUGGGCAACAUGGGGACCCUUCUCCCCAGUUGGAUCUACACAGGCCUACUCCACACCCUGCCAUUGGCUGGAAACAGCUCUCUGAUGCAGAGUGGGGAGGCGGAGGCCCAGAGAGGGCCAGGCGCUAAGUCUAAGUCUCUCUUGUAGAAAACUGCUACUUCAUCCCUGUGGCCUGCUUCCUGAAUUUCAAUGUCUUUGACUGGCUAGGCCGGAGCCUCACAGCUAUUUGCAUGUGGCCUGGUCAGGACAGCCGCUGGUUGCCGGUCCUGGUCGCCUGCAGGGUUGUGUUUAUCCCCCUGCUGAUGCUCUGCAAUGUGAAGCAGCACCACUACCUGCCC
rnacentral:lncRNA from 1 species